UGGCUCAGUUGGUAGAGCAUGGUGCUUGCAACAGCAAGCUUGUGGGUUCAAUUCCUAC
rnacentral:tRNA from 1 species